CCACAAAAUACUUGCUGCCUGAGAAAUACAGGAGUGUGACUAUGGGCCUAAAUGACCCAGGGCAGUGACCUUGCAGCUGAGAGCUAAAGGCUGGGUAGGAGAGACAAGUAAAGGCUCUGUCCUUCAUAAGGAACCUUGGGCAGCUUCCUUAAGGGCUCAACAUGCUACUUCCCUUGCUCUGUACCAGUUAAAUCUGACCCUGAGUGCCCACUGCAAGGUAAAGUGGAAACAUCUUUUUUAUUGGGGGAAGCCCCCAUUUAUCCCCCAUCACUCCUAGGGCCACCCAGAGCUCUGACGGUCUUCAUGGCCCAGAACGUCCAGGGAGGUCCCUCUGGUUUUAACCAGCCCCUGCUAGCAUCCACUUUCAAGGUCUCAGAGUGGGGACACUCCCUGAUGGCUGGGCCACACCUGGAUUGGGGCUUUAUGAGCUGAGAUGUGAAUUGAAGGUCAGCCUCCUGCUGCACCUGUGGCUGUCUUGCCCCAGGGAAGCAUCUCUCUCUUCCUCCUUUGCAGUAAAGCCUGGGGUCUCUCUCUCUGUGAGAGCCUGAUCCCCCAGACCAUGGGCCCCAUGAGGAGAGAGAGCAGGUCCAGCUCUCCACCCCCACUCCAGGCAUGCAGUAGACUCUGUCAGCAACAGCUGAGCACUGUCUGAGCCUGCGUCCUUCCUGGCCAGCCUCACACUCAUUCCCCUUGCCUUUAUGAUCAGGGUGGAAGAAAUGGCCCACACCAGAGGAAUUUGUUCCCAGAAGCUCUCUGCUCAUGGGCUAAAAGACAUUUCCCUGCAGCCUAGAACCUCCCGAUCUUCUCAGACCUACAUACAAACUGCACCCUCACAUAUGAUCUCUCUACCCAGGUGAAUUUCAUGUUUCAACCUUUCCACCAACUUAUUUGGAAGCUAUUGGCCCUGAAUGAUGCCCCUAGAUGCCCAGUCGCCCAGGCAGGGUCAUAGACACAAUCAGGCGUGAGGCAUUGCUGUGGCCUCAUAAGGAAGAUUAAGACACUGAAACCACAGUCCUGGGGGCCCCCUGGACACUCAGCCUCCUCAUGGGUUCCAGAUCCUGAAUACUGCCAGUGUCUGGCUCCAGCUGUGCUGAGGUAUGUGUAAAACAGGGAAGUCAGAUGAGUCACUGGGCAGUAGGUAGAGUCCUGGUGUCCGACAGCAGCAUCCAGCCCCAUCCUGGCUCCUGGCAUGGAGACUGCAGCAGGGGAGUUUGUUCCACAAGUACCUAGUAAAGCGAUUAUUGGGAGAUUUCAGGUAAGAAAGAAAUGGAGACAAGUAAUCCAGCCUAUCCAUGUCGAGUCUGACUACCAGGUACCUGUUCCAGAACAUGUGAUGAAAGGAACCAGACGUCUCUGGACCACAGCAGCUGGUGGAGCAGGAUCCAGGGGCAGCGGCCACAUGGCAGAUACGCAAGUAACAUGAAGAGGAUGGGCCCACACUCCAGGAGUCUCCAGAGCACUGGGCUCAGGGAACUCCCAGACACAGGAAAAGAUGUUGAUCACCACGAACGAGGCACAUAGGGGGACCAAGGCAGAGAGGGGAAGGAGGGUCUCCAGACUGAAGAGUUUCAGCUGGCAGGGACCCCAAGGUGUCCAGGGAACGGUGAGGGGAUGAGUAUUGGUGAGGGCACCUACUGCACAUAGACCCUGUGCUAAGUGCUUGUGGGUCAUGGGUCACCUGGCUGAGACAGGUGCCACCUGUGCGUCAGAGAAAGGAGAGGAGCACAGGCUCAGCUGGAGUCCAGUGUCCAGCCACGUCAUGGCUUCAGAGACAGCUGGUGGACCGGGGCUACAUCUCCACCACGGUAAGGCCAGCAGCUGCUUUCACAGGUGGGGAAGCCAAGACCCAGGCCCAGGCCCAGUGGCCAGGUCUGAGUCCACGCUGCUGUGCCAGCAGGUGAGGCUGACCAGGACUGCAUCAGCCAGGGCCUGUGCUCACCAGGGUCAGCUCUGACUGGUUCCUCGAAGUCCAAUUCCGCGAAGAACUCACCCUUUCCCAUACCUUAGGGGGAACAGGCUGUUGUCCACGCACGGAAGAUGCACAGAAUCCUAAAGAGGUUCAGAGCCUCGCCCAGGCCAAACUGCUAGGAGGCUACAGACCCAGGAAGGGAACCCAGAAGCCUGACCCCGACCCGGAGUCUACACUGUUCGGCUCCGGAGGAUCCGGCAGGCCUGGGCUGCGAGCUCAGCGACCCGCGGGGCUGGUGGGAAGGGGCGGGGCGGGGCGGAGCCGGAGGCUUUGAUUGGAUGCCGCCUCGAGCUCGUCAGGAGACUGCAGUCUGGCCCCGCCCAGACUCCCCCACCAGCCCACCCAGGACCCGGCGGGCUGCGCUCAGAUCCCGCCCGACGCCGUCCAGCCUCGCCCAGGCCCCCCAGGGAGGGGGCGGUAACGGCUGGUCUGGCCCCAAGCCCCUCAGCUUCUGGGGCGGCGUGAGCCCCUCGGUUAGGUGCCCACAUCCGGGCGCCAGCCCAGGGGCCAUUAAGGGGGUUAGAGCCCCAAGCCGGCAGGAACCGUCCGUUUCCUGCUUUUCUUUUGUUUUUUCUUAACAUCUUUAUUGAGAUGUAAUUUCCAUAUCAAAAAAAUUCACCUAUUUAAAGUGUACAGUUCAUAGCGAGUUGCGCAGCUAUGGCCACAAUCUAAUUUUAGAACAUUUUCAACACCUCGAGGCACCUUUCAAUCCAGUACCCAGUACCCACCAGCAGCCUCUUGCCGUUCCCACCUCUCCUCUGUCCCUGGCGACCACAGAUCUGCUUUUUUCCCUACGGAUUCGCCCACUGUGUACAUUUCAU